rnacentral:rRNA from 1 species
CCUACGGGAGGCAGCAGUGAGGAAUAUUGGUCAAUGGGCGCGAGCCUGAACCAGCCAAGCCGCGUGAGGGAAGAAGGUACAGCGUAUCGUAAACCUCUUUUGUCAGGGAACAAAGGCGGGGACUAGUCCCCGGAUGAGGGUACCUGAAGAAAAAGCAUCGGCUAACUCCGUGCCAGCAGCCGCGGUAAUACGGAGGAUGCGAGCGUUCUCCGGAUUUAUUGGGUUUAAAGGGUGCGCAGGCGGCCUGUUAAGUCAGCGGUAAAAGCCCGGGGCUCAACCCCGGCGAGCCGUUGAAACUGGCGGGCUUGAGUUGGAGAGAAGUACGCGGAAUGCGCGGUGUAGCGGUGAAAUGCUUAGAUAUCGCGCAGAACCCCGAUUGCGAAGGCAGCGUACCGGCUCCACACUGACGCUGAGGCACGAAAGCGUGGGUAUCGAACAGGAUUAGAUACCCGAGUAGUC